AUGGCCGACCCUGAGAAGUUGCAGGUUUCUUCGCCGCCCCCGCCGCCUCCUUCUCCCUCCUCUUCAGACGCCUCUGCAGCAUCUUACCCUGGCAGCCCAGUGAGUUUGGGCUGGCCAGUUCCGAGCAGGAGCAGCGGCCGAACGGUGGACCCGCUGGAGGAAGUGGGGCUGCAGAUCGGAGACGCAGCCUUUUCAUUAACCAAACUUCUUGAAGCCACAUCUGCAGUAUCAGCUCAAGUGGAAGAACUUGCCUUCAAAUGUACAGAAAAGGCACGUUUCCUUAAAACGUGGCGGGACCUAUGGAAAGAAGGCUAUGAUUCUUUGAAACCUGAUGACUAA
rnacentral:lncRNA from 1 species